AUACGAGACUGUUCUCUUUGAGGCCGGUCAUCGGAAUGGGUACAAUUUAAACCCUUUAACGAGUAUCAAGCAGAGGGCAAGUCUGGUGCCAGCAGCCGCGGUAAUUCCAGCUCUGCUAAUACAUAGAAUUAUUGCUGCGGUUAAAAAGCUCAUAGUUGGAUUCGUAUCGGUACCUUGGAACCCUUCGGGUGUCUCUGGGUGUUAUCGAUUUAUCGUAAUGUUCGGUUUUGAGUCCUUAACAGGAUUCUUAACAGGCAUUGCAAGUUUACUUUGAACAAAUCAGAGUGCUUCAAACAGGCGUUUUCGCUUGAAUGAUCGUGCAUGGAAUAAUAGAAAAUGAUUUCGGUUCAGUUUUAUUGGUUUUACGGACUGAGAUAAUGGUUAACAGAGACAAACGGGGGCAUUUGUAUGGCCCCGUGAGAGGUGAAAUUCUUGGACCGUGGCCAGACAAACUACAGCGAAAGCAUUUGCCAAGAAUGUUUUUAUUAAUCAAGAACGAAAGUCAGAGGUUCGAAGGCGAUCAGAUACCGCCCUAGUUCUGACCGUAAACGAUGCCAACUAGCGAUCCGCCGAUGGAAAUUAUAUUGCCUUGGUGGGGAGCUUCCCGGAAACGAAAGUCUUCCGGUUCCGGGGGAAGUAUGGUUGCAAAGCUGAAACUUAAAGGAAUUGACGGAAGGGCACCACCAGGAGUGGAGCCUGCG
rnacentral:rRNA from 1 species